rnacentral:rRNA from 1 species
AUGGCUGGCGGGGAGGAGCAUGAGCAUUUGCAUGACGCGCCGGGUCGGCUGGAGAGCAUCCUGACGGACACAUCGGCGCCGCUGGCGGAGCGCGCGUGGGCGGCGUCGACAGUCGAGCUCCGGCUCCUGGCGCGGCUGGCGGCGCCGGCAGUGGUUGUGUACAUGAUCAACUUCGUCAUGUCCAUGUCCACGCAGAUCCUGUGCGGUCACCUCGGUACCCUGGAGCUGGCCGCCGCUUCGCUCGGCAACACCGGCGUCCAGACCUUCGCCUACGGCCUCAUGCUGGGCAUGGGCAGUGCAGUGGAGACCCUCUGCGGGCAGGCCUACGGUGCACACAAGUACGACAUGCUCGGAAUCUACCUACAGCGCUCCGUCAUUCUGCUGGGUUUAACUGGCAUACCACUUGCUGUGAUGUAUGCUUUCUCGGAGCCACUCCUCUUGUUGAUGGGACAGUCACCGGAGAUAGCUCGUGCCGCGUCGAUCUUCGUUUACGGCCUGAUUCCCCAGAUCUUCGCGUACGCCGUCAACUUCCCCAUUCAGAAGUUCCUGCAGGCGCAAAGCAUCGUCCUGCCGAGUGCUUACAUCUCGACGGCAACACUCGUUCUACAUGUGAUGCUGAGCUGGGUGCUCAUGUACAAGGUCGGCCUUGGGCUGCUUGGUGCCUCGCUGGUGCUGAGUGUGAGCUGGUGGAUUAUCGUCGGAGCGCAAUUUGUGUACAUUGUCGUGAGCCCGACGUGCCGGCACACGUGGACGGGAUUCAGUUGGCAGGCCUUCUCCGGUUUGCCGAGUUUCUUCAAACUCUCCGCCGCGUCUGCCGUGAUGCUGUGCCUUGAGACAUGGUACUUUCAGGUGCUUGUGAUCAUUGCUGGACUGCUCCCCAACCCUGAGAUUGCCCUGGAUUCCCUCUCUGUGUGCAUGACGAUUUAUGGUUGGGUGUUCAUGAUCUCCGUUGGGUUCAAUGCCGCUGCAAGUGUAAGAGUGAGCAAUGAGCUUGGCGCCGGCAACCCCAAGUCUGCAUUUUUCUCUGUGUGGGUCGUGACCGGGCUCUCUGCAACAAUCUCUACCAUCCUUGCUGUCGUGAUCCUCUGCCUCCGCAACCACAUCAGCUACUUGUUCACAGAUGGUAAAGCAGUUUCGGACGCGGUGGCAGAUCUCUGCCCGUUGCUCGCCAUCACGCUCGUUCUCGGUGGCAUCCAACCUGUACUGACAGGUGUUGCCGUUGGAUGUGGAUGGCAACAAUUUGUUGCUUACGUGAACGUCGGCUCUUACUACAUUGUAGGCGUUCCACUUGGUGUUGUUCUCGGUUUUUUCUUCAAUCUUGGCGCAAAGGGUAUUUGGGGUGGCUUGAUUGGGGGAACAGCCUUGCAGACGGCCAUUCUGCUGUGGGUCACAAUCAGAACUGACUGGACCAAAGAGGUAGAGGAGGCACAGAAAAGGUUGAACAAGUGGGACGAGAAGAAAGAGCCUCUCCUUGCAGGGUUCAAGGACAAUAACAAAUAA